rnacentral:rRNA from 1 species
GACGAACGCUGGCGGCGUGCCUAACACAUGCAAGUCGAGCGAAUGAAGUUCCUUCGGGAAUGGAUUUAGCGGCGGACGGGUGAGUAACACGUGGGCAACCUGCCUCAUAGAGGGGAAUAGCCUCCCGAAAGGGAGAUUAAUACCGCAUAAGAUUGUAGUACCGCAUGAUACAGCAAUUAAAGUAGCAAUCCGCUAUGAGAUGGGCCCGCGGCGCAUUAGCUAGUUGGUGAGGUAAUGGCUCACCAAGGCGACGAUGCGUAGCCGACCUGAGAGGGUGAUCGGCCACAUUGGGACUGAGACACGGCCCAGACUCCUACGGGAGGCAGCAGUGGGGAAUAUUGCACAAUGGGGGAAACCCUGAUGCAGCAACGCCGCGUGAGUGAUGACGGCCUUCGGGUUGUAAAGCUCUGUCUUCAGGGACGAUAAUGACGGUACCUGAGGAGGAAGCCACGGCUAACUACGUG